UGGCAUCACGCUAUUUGAUUUAAAAGCGAAAUGUAGCUUUAUUAUCAAGGAACUAAAAUAAAUAAAAGCGGCGAGACUCGGACAGGAAGGGCGAAAAUCUAACCCGAGAUCCGGCGAGUGGCGGUUCGUCGGAUUUCCUCCACUGCGCAGAUCUACGGCUUUUUGGGCGAUACGCCGCCGCAGAGAUGAUGAAGGCCUCUUCUACUCUCAUCGUGUCGCUCUUCGCCGCUUCGUCCCUCGCCCUCUCCUCCUCCGCUUCCGCUGCCGCUCCAGCCCCUGCCAUUACUUCCACCCCAAGCGCCGACCGGGUAUUUAUUCUUAAUCUAAAUAUAGGGCGAUUACUUUCGUUAAUUGAUAAAUUUUGUUUUCGCGCACGAAGAAAAUCGCAAUGUUUUCCGUAUAUUUAGUUGCAGAUUGUGUUUUUUUUUCGGCCUUCACCUAGCGUAAUUUCGAGUCUGUGUUUAUUAUGAAUAGUUUUGGUGAGUGCGGACAGCAGAUCUCUAUGUAGCUUAAUUGUUACGCAGAAUGCUCUAAGUGUCCCUAUUUUUUUUAUUGUUCUGCGAGAAUACCAAUACGACAGUACUUUUUAUUGGUAAUUUGAUCCCCAAAAUCUUUCAUAUCCUAGCAUGAAAAUGAGAUGCCAUAGCAUGUUGGUCAUUUUAAUCUAAUUGUGUUGUUGAUUGUGGUUGUUUUCGUCUUUGAAGGUAAAAUCAAUGGAUAAGGGAAGCUUUGCUCCAAAAUUCGACGGUUUGAGGUUCAUUGAGACCCUGGUGACGGCCCACAGGUGAAUUUGUUGGACAAAAAGUUAUGGUGAGAAUGUUGUGAUGCCGUUGAGCAUGUCAAGUAUCGAUCUAUACAGAUUGUAGUGAUUUCCAAUUAAUUGAUUUACUCGUGGAUGGUAGUUUUCCAAGAUAUCCCCGUGAGUUUGUGCUAAUGUAACUUCACUUCUCAUUUUUAAUCAUACUUGUCAUUUCUUUAACUACAAUCAUGCCUUUCGUUACAAUACGAGUAUUAUUUAAUCACGGGAUUGUUUAGGGACGAAUAUUAAAAUAACUAUAUUGCUUAACCAUCUAUAUCUAUAUGUUACUAUGAAACACCAAUUUCAGUGCAUGCCUUUACAUGUCUCUUUUUUUUUUUUUUUCAAAUAAAGAAGGAAAAAAAAGGUGAACUUCUCUUUUGUGUAAAACGUGAGAAAAGAUAUGACAUUUAAAGACAUAAAUUUUUAUUAUCUACUCCCUCCGUCCGCUAAUUGUUGUCCUAGGGGAUUUACACUUCCCCUAGGACAACAAUUAGUGGACGGAUGGAGUAUUAUUUUUCAUGGAUAAAUUUAUUCAUAAAAGUAAACGUAGCCUUAUAGACCCAAAUUGAACCUGCCAAAUUCAUUUGGACCGACGGGUUUGGUUCGGACCGGACCGGACCGACCCAGUAUAUAUGUACGAUCCGGUCCGGGUCAAAUUUGUAGGACCGAAUUUUUGUUGGGUUGGUUCGGGUCGAAACUCAGUUGAACCUGUAGAAUCCAACACUUUAAACCCCAAACUAUUUUCGCACUAUCAAUUAUAUACUGAACUAUUAAAAAUAAUUUUUUAAACCUUGAACUAUUAAUUUUAUAUCAAUUGUACCCUUUAUCCAUUUUUCAUCCUUUGAAUUUUUAAUGAGUAAUGCAUAUAAUCAUGUCGUUUUAUAUAAUAUAGGUAAAAAAAAUGAUUCAAAAUAUAUUGUGACACCUGGUGAGCUACGUCAAAUUUUUUAAGCUAAAAAAAUUAACGAAUGAUACAAUUGAUACAAAAUUGAUAGUUCAAGGUUUAAAAAAUUAUUUUCGAUAGUUUAGGAUAUAAUUGAUAGUGCGAAAAUAGUUUGGGGUUUAAAGUGAUAUUUAUCCAAUAAAUUAAUUAUUUAAUUUUUAUAUUUAAUAUUUAUAAUUAAUAUCAAUAAANUUAUUUUCGAUAGUUUAGGAUAUAAUUGAUAGUGCGAAAAUAGUUUGGGGUUUAAAGUGAUAUUUAUCCAAUAAAUUAAUUAUUUAAUUUUUAUAUUUAAUAUUUAUAAUAAUAUCAAUAAACUUUAAAUUCAAUUUUCUAACCCUAAGCCAAGUCUGGAACAUGGAAUCUGAUAAAUGAUAAUAACUCAUCAUCAUAUAUAUGUGACAUAAAUUGUGAGUUCUGAAUUUCAGACGCCUGUUAUAUUAUCGUAUUGCGGGAUUGCUAAGAAUUCCUUUUGCCGUGGAAUCAUGAAUCUGGGAAAUAUGUUAGAGACCAUGUGAUAGAUUUUGUUCGUGGAUUAUGUAAAAUGAGGUGGUAGCUCUGAUUAUAAACAUUGUUUUCUGUAAGAUUUUUUUUAGUAAUGCAAUGCAAUCAGUGCAAAUAGUGUCUAAUAUUAUAAAAAAUUAUUUCGUCAUCAUUUGCCAGAAGACUAUGAAAAUAUGAAUUGUUGGUAAAAUGAAGCAGCAAAUUACUAGAUCUGUAAAUCUUUGUCAUCAUUUGCCAGAAAAAUUAAUAUCAGGAAUUUUCUUAUAUCCGUUGAUAACAGAAUGAAUAUGCCUAACAAAAUAUGAAAUCUGAAAUUAAUAGGCGUUUCAGAAUCUUGAGGCUUAAUAUGAUUAUGGCGGCUCGGACCUGGACCGGUCGGUCCACACUCAGGAAUCGGUUCGGGUCGGUCCAACAUUUCAAAAAUUUCGGUCUAACAAACUCGUCCGGGUCGGUCUGGGUUCGACCUGCUGUUCACCCCUAAUUGCUUUAAUAUAAUAAAUCUGUAUUAUUAGGAACCAUGAUAUCUUUAUUUUAUGUUGCUUGUUUUAGUUUAGACCUUUGGCACAUGGCUUUGCACCUAAAUUUGGCUGUGGAAGGUGCCGAAAAUUGGAUUUGCUUGUGUCUUUCAACUGCUCGAAGAAAUGCCUGUGUAAGAAAAUUCUGGUAGCAACCCUUGAGUAAGUUUGGCUGCGGUAGGUGGAGAAAAUUGGAUUUGAUUAUGUCUUUCAACAGUUGGAAGAAAUACCAGUAUUUGGAUAUGUUUGUUAUGUUGAAUUCACUACAUAUUUUCAAAUUGAUGCUCAAUCGAUGCACCUUAUGCAUUUUCUUUUAGUUUGAGAGACUUUCUUUGUAAAUUUGUAUUGAUUUACAUUAGACAGUUGAGAAACAAUGUAUGAUGAAUUUGGA
rnacentral:lncRNA from 1 species